UACGGAGGGAGCUAGCGUUGUUCGGAAUUACUGGGCGUAAAGCGCGCGUAGGCGGCUUUGUAAGUUAGAGGUGAAAGCCCGGGGCUCAACCCCGGAACUGCCUUUAAGACUGCAUCGCUUGAAUCCGGGAGAGGUGAGUGGAAUUCCGAGUGUAGAGGUGAAAUUCGUAGAUAUUCGGAAGAACACCGGUGGCGAAGGCGGCAUCCUGGACCGGUAUUGACGCUGAUGCGCGAAAGCCAGGGGAGCAAACGGG
rnacentral:rRNA from 1 species